rnacentral:snRNA from 1 species
GGAUGUGAGGGUGAUCUGGCUGAGACAUCUGCCACCCUGUUGAUCGCCAGGGUUGAUUCAGCUGAUCUGGCUGGCUAGGCGGGUGUCCACUUCCUCCCUCACCACUCCAUGUGCGUCUUUCCCAAAGCUGCAUGCUGGGUCGAAGAGGAUGACCACCCCUGAUAGAGGAGGACCAUUUCCUUGGUCAAGGGUACACAAGUAGCUGUGUUCCCUUGCUAGAAUUUCCAACCAAGCUUUCAAGAAAUAACAUCAAGAAUCAAAAAAUGGGACUAUAUCAUAUUAAAAAGCUUCUGUACAGAAAAAGAAACAACCAACAGAGUGAAGUGACAAACUAGAAAAUGGGAAAAUUUUUUU